GGGAUAUUGCACAAUGGGGGGAACCCUGAUGCAGCGACGCCGCGUGGGUGAAGGAGCGUUUCGGCGCGUAAAGCCCUAUCGGCAGGGAAGAAGGAGGACGGUACCUGACUAAGAAGCCCCGGCUAACUACGUGCCAGCAGCCGCGGUAAUACGUAGGGGGCAAGCGUUAUCCGGAUUUACUGGGUGUAAAGGGAGCGUAGACGGCUGCGCAAGUCAGAAGUGAAAGCCCGGGGCUCAACCGCGGGACUGCUUUUGAAACUGUGUAGCUAGAGUGCAGGAGAGGUAAGUGGAAUUCCUAGUGUAGCGGUGAAAUGCGUAGAUAUUAGGAGGAACACCGGUGGCGAAGGCGGCUUACUGGACUGUAACUGACGUUGAGGCUCGAAAGCGUGGGGAGCAAACAG
rnacentral:rRNA from 1 species